rnacentral:rRNA from 1 species
UGGGGAAUAUUGCACAAUGGGCGCAAGCCUGAUGCAGCCAUGCCGCGUGUGUGAAGAAGGCCUUCGGGUUGUAAAGCACUUUCAGCGAGGAGGAAGGUGGUGAACUUAAUACGUUCAUCAAUUGACGUUACUCGCAGAAGAAGCACCGGCUAACUCCGUGCCAGCAGCCGCGGUAAUACGGAGGGUGCAAGCGUUAAUCGGAAUUACUGGGCGUAAAGCGCACGCAGGCGGUUUGUUAAGUCAGAUGUGAAAUCCCCGGGCUCAACCUGGGAACUGCAUUUGAAACUGGCAAGCUAGAGUCUCGUAGAGGGGGGUAGAAUUCCAGGUGUAGCGGUGAAAUGCGUAGAGAUCUGGAGGAAUACCGGUGGCGAAGGCGGCCCCCUGGACGAAGACUGACGCUCAGGUGCGAAAGCGUGGGGAGCAAAACAGGAUUAGAUACCCUGGUAGUCCACGCUGUAAAACGAUGUCGAUUUUGGAGGUUGUGCCCUUGAGGCGUGGCUUCCGGAGCUAACGCGUUAAAUCGACCGCCUGGGGAGUACGGCCGCAAGGUU